rnacentral:rRNA from 1 species
CCUACGGGAGGCAGCAGUAGGGAAUAUUGCUCAAUGGGGGAAACCCUGAAGCAGCAACGCCGCGUGGCAGAUGAAGGUUUUAGGAUUGUAAAAUCCUUUUGUGAGAGAAGAUAAUGACGGUAUCUCACGACUAAGCACAGGCUAACUCCAUGCCAGCAGCCGAGGUAAUACGGAGGGUUCAAGCGUUACUCGGAAUUACUGGUCGUAAAGAGUGAGCAGGCGGGUUUUUAAGUAAGAUGUGAAAUCCUGUAGCGUAACUAACGAACUGCAUUUGAAACUAUGAGUAGUGAGUGUGGGAGAGGUAGGUGGAAGUCUUGGUGUAGCGGUAAAA